rnacentral:rRNA from 1 species
UCGAGAAUUUUUCUCAAUGGGGGAAACCCUGAAGGAGCGACGCCGCGUGGGGGAUGAAGGACUUCGGUUCGUAAACCCCUGUCACUUGGGAACAAAAGUUUCAACUUAACACGUUGAAACCUGAUAGUACCAGGAGAGGAAGGCACGGCUAACUCUGUGCCAGCAGCCGCGGUAAUACAGAGGUGCCAAGCGUUGUUCGGAUUUAUUGGGCGUAAAGGGUGCGUAGGCGGUGAUGCAAGUCGGUUGUGAAAUUCCGGAGCCUAACUCCGGAACUGCAUUCGAAACUGCAUCGCUCGAGGUCUGGAGAGGUGAGUGGAAUUCUAGGUGUAGCAGUGAAAUGCGUAGAUAUCUAGAGGAACACCAGAGGCGAAAGCGAAUCACUGGACAGAACCUGACGCUGAGGCACGAAAGCUAGGGGAGCAAACGG